rnacentral:misc_RNA from 1 species
UUGCCAUUGUGCUUUGUGACUGAGACGACAGGGACGACGGGUUUGGACGUUCGGGGGGUUCACGGAAGGGAAAUGGUCCCCGCCGGCAGCCGAAGCCACGACCCCCCAAGCAAAAGGUAGAAAAACACGGGUGGAGGUUCGGGGGAGUCCCCUAUCUCGAUAAUGAUCCUUCCGCAGGUUCACCUACGGAAA